GGCAUUGUUGUCUAGCGGUUAGAACGCUGGCCUUGUAAUCCUGGGGUCUCGGGUUCGAUUCCCGGCGGUGCCC
rnacentral:tRNA from 1 species